GCAGAGUAGAGAUUAAAGCGUUGAAAGCAUAAGCUUUCCGUAGUGCCUCAUGUACAGGGAGUUGACAGAGGACGAAAAAGUAGAACUUGCGGUUUUAAUCUUGCAUCCCGCUGC
rnacentral:ncRNA from 1 species